CCUACGGGUGACUGCAGUGAGGAAUAUUGGUCAAUGGGCGAGAGCCUGAACCAGCCAAGUAGCGUGAAGGAUGACUGCCCUACGGGUUGUAAACUUCUUUUAUAAAGGAAUAAAGUGAGGCACGUGUGCCUUUUUGUAUGUAUUUUAUGAAUAAGGAUCGGCUAACUCCGUGCCAGCAGCCGCGGUAAUACGGAGGAUCCGAGCGUUAUCCGGAUUUAUUGGGUUUAAAGGGAGCGUAGAUGGGUUGUUAAGUCAGUUGUGAAAGUUUGCGGCUCAACCGUAAAAUUGCAAUUGAUACUGGCAGUCUUGAGUACAGUUGAGGUAGGCGGAAUUCGUGGUGUAGCGGUGAAAUGCUUAGAUAUCACGAAGAACUCCGAUUGCGAAGGCAGCCUACUAAACUGCCACUGACAUUGAUGCUCGAAAGUGUGGGUAUCAAACAGGAUUAGAUACCCGGGUAGUC
rnacentral:rRNA from 1 species